rnacentral:tRNA from 1 species
GGAGAGGUGGCCGAGUGGUUGAAGGCGCUGCUCUCGAAAAGCAGUAUGCCCGCAAGGGUAUCGAGGGUUCGAAUCCCUCCCUCUCCGCCA